rnacentral:rRNA from 1 species
UUCCGGUUGAUCCUGCCGGACCCGACUGCUAUUUGGGUGAGGAUAAGCCAUGCGAGUUGAAUGGGAAACCUAAAGUUCCCAUGGCAAACUGCUCAAUAACACAUGAUCAACUUACCCUAUAGAGAAAAAUAACCUCGGGAAACUGAGGAUAAUGUUUCAUAGUUGAAUUGGCUUGGAAAAGUUUUUCGACGAAAGGGGUAAAAAAAAUGGUUUUUAUCUGCUAUAGGAUAGGAUCGUGUUCGAUUAUGGUUGUUGGUGAGGUAAUGGCUCACCAAGCCGAUAAUCGAUAGGGGCCGUGAGAGCGGGAGCCCCGAGAUGGGUACUGAGACAACGACCCAGGCCUUACGAGGCGCAGCAGGCGCGAAACCUCCGCAAUACACGAAAGUGUGACGGGGUUACCCAAAGUGUUCAAUUUUGAACUGUGGUAGGUGAGUAAUGUUCCCUACUAGAAAGGAGAGGGCAAGGCUGGUGCCAGCCGCCGCGGUAAAACCAGCUCUUCAAGUGGUCGGGAUAAUUAUUGGGCUUAAAGUGUCCGUAGCCGGUUUAGUAAGUUCCUGGUAAAAUCGGGUAGCUUAACUAUCUAUAUGCUAGGAAUACUACUAUACUAGAGGGCGGGAGAGGUCUGAGGUACUGCAGGGGUAGGGGUGAAAUCUUAUAAUCCUUGUUGGACCACCAGUGGCGAAGGCGUCAGACUGGAACGCGCCUGACGGUGAGGGACGAAAGCCAGGGGAGCGAACCGGAUUAGAUACCCGGGUAGUCCUGGCCGUAAACGAUGCAUACUAGGUGAUGGCACGGCCAUGAGCCGUGUCAGUGCCGUAGGGAAACCGUUAAGUGUGCCGCCUGGGAAAUACGGUCGCAAGGCUAAACUUAAAGAAUUGCGGGGAGCACCACAAGGGUGAGCCUGCGAUCAUUGCUCAACGC